rnacentral:rRNA from 1 species
AUGUACAUUUCUACAUUUUUAAUGCAUCAUAUACCAUCAUCACUCUAUAGUUAAACGAACUUGAGAUAGAUUAGUACUGGAAUGGGUGACCUAUGGAGAAGUUCUAGUGUUUUACAUG